GAUGAACGCUAGCGGCAGGCCUAAUACAUGCAAGUCGAACGGUGUCUUCGGACAUAGUGGCGCACGGGUGCGUAACACGUAUGCAACCUACCUUACAUUGGGGGAUAGCCUUUCGAAAGGGAGAUUAAUACAGCAUAAGACAGUAGCUGGGCAUCCAGCAGCUGUUAAAGAUUUAUCGAUGUAAGCUGGGCAUGCGUCCAAUUAGCUAGUUGGUGAGGUACGGCUAACCAAGGCAAUGAUUGGGAGGGGAAGUGAGAGGUCAAUCCCCCACACUGGCACUGAGAUACGGGCCAGACUCCUACGGGAGGCAGCAGUAGGGAAUAUUGGGCAAUGGACGCAAGUCUGACCCAGCCAUGCCGCGUGCAGGAUGAAGGCGUUAUGCGUUGUAAACUGCUUUUAUACAGGAAGAAACGACUCUUGCGAGAGGCAUUGACGGUACUGUAUGAAUAAGCACCGGCUAACUCCGUGCCAGCAGCCGCAGUAACAC
rnacentral:rRNA from 1 species